AGAAUCCCUGGAGACAUUUUGGAACCGAAUGGUCUUCAUACUUGUUUUUUU
rnacentral:sRNA from 1 species